rnacentral:lncRNA from 1 species
AACGAAAUGCCGCAAAAUUUAGAGAGUAGCGGAGUCAAGCUGCAACUAGUAGAUUCUAUGAUACACUUCCCGAUACGACACCUUAUCAUCACUCAUUUAGGGAGAGUGUACUCCACAGACAUUUCCCUGCGGGAGAAUUUCGCCAACUCUGAGAGCGUUUAUCCUGCUUUUUGUUGCUUUGUUUUAUUUUCCCAAAUGUCACGCAUAGCAGUUUUUCACCAACACUGCCUAACGAAGAGCUUGUCUCAGUGAGAAUCCAGGGCCUGCCUGGUUGGAGUUUUGGAGUUGAGAGACCCAGAGCUGUGCAAACCUUUGCCUCAGCGCUUCUACCUCAGCAGUCUUUCAGAGUGACUGAUCUCGAACUCACUUCGCCUCUUCAGCACAGCAGAUUUGGUUCAUAACCGGAUUGCUCUACACUUGUGCUGAGAACAGUAUACAAGGAGCCCUGGGUGGAAGCCAAAUACCACAUAAGAGGUAUUCACAGCAAUCCAGUCAAGAGAUGAUGGUGGCCAAGGACCAAGGUGGGAGCAGGAAAGGUGGAGAGAAACUCUUCGAUUUUGGAUGUAUGUUGAAGAAUCAACAGGAUUUGGUGAUGGAUUGGACAUGAGCUGUGAACAGGAGGAGUCAAAGGGAAAGAUUCACCCUGAGCUAACAUCUGUUGCCAAUCUUCCUCUUUUUUUUGUUCCUUCUCCCCAAAGCCCCACUGCAUGGUUAUAUUUCCUAGUUGUAAGUCUUUCUAGUUCUUCUAUGUGAGCCACUGCCACAGCAUGGCAACUGACAGACCACUAGACCAUCAGGGC